rnacentral:tRNA from 2 species
GCUCUCGUAGCCCAACGCAGAGGCAGCCGGCUUAAACCCGGUCCAGUGUCGGUGCAACCCCGACCGGGAGCA